AAAAAAUCCUAUAACUAGAUGUUAAAAUUACUUUAAUUUUUCAAAUGGGGAACUAAUCCUUUGAGAAUAUACAUUAAUUUCCAAAGUCACACAGUAACAUCAACAUUGUUACCCCAGGCAAUCUGGCACGUGAACUGAUGAGUAACCAUGAUACUAUUCAGCAUCUCAAAGGUAACAUCACCAAGUUUGCCUUCUCAGGCAAGAAAACUGUUAAGCCUGUCUGUGUACAUGGAUUGCUGCAGACGGUGGGAUGUGAGAGGUCAGAGAGAGCCAGGCUAUCGCUCCCUUGCUUGCAGUCACAAAGGAUGACUCCGUGCACUGGUUAAAAAAUCUAGACAGUUCAAGAUCAUCCAUAAUUUAAUUAAGGAGGAUGCUCUUAUAAUACUCACAGAAACUUGGUUUUCAUUGGCCAGCAAAGAGGCAGACCUGAAUCUGAGUCUGGCUUCAAGACUUUAGGAUCUGUAGCUGAGUAAAACCGAUUUGCACAAAUUAUUAAUCAUUCUCAUGUUUGUCCCAGUCAUUUAAGAGGCAAUGAGAGAUAAUUUUGUCUCAUUUGUAAAUGAAAGAGUGUAGAAGCCAAGGUCUUCAGGACAUGAAGAAAGCUGAAAAGAGUGUUUCUACAUAAUAGAUAAUUGAAUUUCAAAACAUAUAAAUCUGUGGUCAGAAUAUGAGCCUCUUAGAAAUUUUUUUGUUUGUGGUUUGACUGUCAGCUCAGAUGUGUAAAGCAUUCUUCUUUGAUGACAGGCUUUUUACUGAGAUUUUUUUCUUUUCAUUCCAAGCCUUUUGGUUGAAGAAUUGAAAUGAGUCUCUAUUAUGAAAAUGAAGUGUCAUAGAUUUUAAUCAGUGUGGAUCACCUCUGGUGCUGAUCUAAUGAAAGGCUAUGAAGAAGACAGGAAGGAUAACAAAGGAGCGAUCAUAAAAACCCAGGAACUAAAGAUGAUUUGCAAACGUAAUUGCAAAAAGAGAUAAUUUUAAUAUCAGAAGAUUGCAAAGAAAACAAAAGAAGGAAGAAUUUGACUGAGUGUAACUCUUCUAAGGAAAGACAACACCAGCCUGCAGGCAUACACACAUCUAGGACAUCCUGUUGAUGGUAACAUUUUAAUUCACGGACUCAUGCAUCUUCUUUGCAAGCAGCUUGAUUUACACAAGAAAUCCAGAAAUGACACAUCCAGUGACAAGGCCAAAUCUGUGAUUCCAGCUGGAAGCCAGUGCUCGUUUCAGUCAAAGAGACCAAAUCGGGGUGUGACUCAAGGAGUUGGACGUCAGAGCAGCAACCAGAAUGAUGUCGAUUUUGAUCAGGUGUGCUCAGGAGCAUUGCUAAGAGGCAAUGAUUCUGGGAAAUCUUCCAAAAGUGCCAAAUGGAGGAAAAAGCUCUCAUGUGUUGGCACAUAAUUGGGUAGAUUGGUGAGAUUUUCCAAAAGAAUUAUUUAAAAAUGUUUUAGGAAUUUCUAAAGAGUUAUUUCUUCUUACACCUUUGAAAACAGACAUUCUAAUAAUUACAUUUGUCAACAACUCUCCUAUUAAAAAUAAAAUCCAUUAUGUCAUGCCAAAGGGCAUGAUUGUCUCAGUAAAAAGAAAAAUCGGAGAAAUGGAGAAAAGUUUACCUUUUUACAUGUACUUGUUAGCCAGAGGCAUCUGUUUGCUCUGUUUUUACCCAUCUCUUCCAACUUGA